GACGAACGCUGGCGGCGCGCUUAACACAUGCAAGUCGAGCGAGAACCCAGGCUUCGGCCUGGGGGAAAGCGGCGAACGGGUGAGUAUCACGUGGGUAAUCUGCCCUCGACAUCGGGAUAGCCCGGGGAAACCCGGAUUAAUACCGAAUGGCCCAUCCGCUCUUCGGAGCGGCUGGGAAAGGUAGCUUCGGCCUCCAGUCGAGGAGGAGCCCGCGGCGGAUUAGCUUGUUGGUGAGGUAAUGGCUCACCAAGGCGACGAUCCGUAGCUGGUCUGAGAGGACGAUCAGCUACACUGGGACUGAGACACGGCCCAGACUCCUACGGGAGGCAGCAGUGGGGAAUCUUGCGCAAUGGGCGAAAGCCUGACGCAGCGACGCCGCGUGCGGGAAGAAGGCCUUCGGGUUGUAAACCGCUUUCAGGAGGGACGAAGCCACUCGGGUUAAUAGCCCAGAGGGUGACGGUACCUCCAGAAGAAGCCCCGGCUAACUACGUGCCAGCCGCCGCCGUAAUAC
rnacentral:rRNA from 1 species